UGAAUACGAGACGCUAAGGCGUCGAAGUAGUGUAUGUCAUACUUCCAAGAAAAGCUUGCACUGUCAUAGAUAAAAAACGCCUGUACCAUAACCGACACAGGUGGGUAGGUAGAGUAUACUAAGGGGCGCGAGAUAACUCUCUCUAAGGAACUCGGCAAAAUGACUCCGUAACUUCGGGAGAAGGAGUGCCUUAUUCUUAAGGUUGCAAUAACAAGAUCUAAGCAACUGUUUAUCAAAAACACAGGUCUCCGCUAAGUCGUAAGACGAUGUAUGGGGGCUGACGCCUGCCCAGUGCCAAGGUUAAAGAAGUUGGUUAGCAUUUGCGAAGCUGAUAACUGAAGCCCUGGUGAACGGCGGCCGUAACAAUAACGGUCCUAAGGUAGCGAAAUUCCUUGUCGGGUAAGUUCCGACCCGCACGAAAGGCGUAAUGAUUUGGAUACUGUCUCGGAGAGGGGCUCGGUGAAAUAGACUUGUCUGUGAAGAUGCGGACUACCUGCACCAGGACAGAAAGACCCUAUGAAGCUUUACUGUAACUUGAAAUUGAAAUUGGACUUUAUUCGCGCAGUAUAGGUGGGAGGCGUUGAUUAUAAUCUUGCGGGAUUAUUGGAGCCAUCAGUGAGAUACCACCCUUGUAAUGUUAGAUUUCUAACUUUGAAUCAUUAUCUGGUCAAAGAACAGUUUCAGGCGGGCAGUUUGACUGGGGCGGUCGCCUCCUAAACGGUAACGGAGGCGUACAAAGGUUUCCUCUGAACGGUUAGAAAUCGUAUCUAGAGUGUAAAGGCAUAAGGAAGCUUGACUGUGAGACCUACAAGUCGAGCAGGGACGAAAGUCGGUCUUAGUGAUCUGACGGUACUGAGUGGAAAGGCCGUCACUCAACGGAUAAAAGUUACUCUAAGGAUAACAGGCUGAUCUCCCCCAAGAGUUCACAUCGACGGGGAGGUUUGGCACCUUGAUGUCGGCUCAUCGCAUCCUGGGGCGGUAGUACGUCCCAAGGGUUGGGCUGUUCGCCCAUGAAAGCGAUACGCGAGCUGGGUUCAGAACGUCGUGAGACAGUUCGGUCCAUAUCCGGUGUAGGCGUUAGAAUAUUGAGAGGAGCCUUCUUUAGUACGAGAGGACCGAGAAGGACAUACCUCUGGUGUACCAGUUAUCGUGCCAACGGUAAACGCUGGGUAGCUGUGUAUGGAGUGGAUAACCGCUGAAAGCAUCUAAGUGGGAAGCCCACCUCAAGAUAAGUAUUCUCAUC
rnacentral:rRNA from 1 species